AAAAAUAGGCCUCAUCGUC
rnacentral:rRNA from 1 species